CUUUGUCCUAGUCCUACUAACACUCAUUAAAAACCAGCACUAUGUAUGAGUGCUGUGCCACUGCUGUCUCUGUAACUGGCAGCACUUGCUUAGGGCUCCUAAGAUUGGCUCCUUAUGGGGUUGGCUUUUUCAUGAACUUCGGUGUGAGAAACAGGGUCUUCCUUGGAUGCCUUUGAAUUGUGCCCUCUACCAAAUACCCUCCCACCUUGUAGACAGAGACAUGGAGGGAAAAUAGAGAAGAGUAAGAAAAAGUGAUGGAGGAAGGAAGAGGAAAAGAAGCAAGGAUCCAAAAUGCAAAUGUGGGACAUUUUAGAAGAGCAGAACGUUGCAUUUCAGCCUUCCUGUCUGAUAUAACCCAUCUGGUGACUGCAUUCAAAAGAGCCCUACCAAGAAUAUUUUCAUGGAGUUAUUUUUCCACUGUGUAUUUCACACUUCAUCUUUGCAGGAGAAUGGAUGGAUUUACUUGGCACGUAGCAGGGGACAGUCUGUGGAAAGAAGUGAGAAGGAUAAUCCAAUAGCAAAAGUGAGGGGUGAUGAAGAGUGAAAGGUACCAACGUCCCCUUCCGCAUAUUCCUCUCCACUCUCUCAGUAUUGGAAUCUAAGUCUGAAGUUUUAGACAAGGCUCAGGGACGGCUUAAACUGUAGAUGCAGUUCCCUUCUCUAGUCCCAAAGGCUCCCAGUCAGCCCUAGGCCUUGUGUAGGGAGCUUCCAAAUGCCUACUCAAGGUUUAAUUAAUUUUCUGCAAAAAAUGAUUGGUUGACAUGACAGCAAUAAACAUCAAAUUCCAUUAAUUAAUACUGAGACAUCAGUGUCCACGCUGCUUCUCAAUUACACAUUCAGAGGCAGCCACGCUUAUGCUGGCAUCAAUUUGGUCGUGA
rnacentral:lncRNA from 1 species